UCAGCGGCGGACGGGUGAGUAACACGUGGGCAACCUGCCUGUAAGACUGGGAUAACUCCGGGAAACCGGGGCUAAUACCGGAUAAUUCUUUCCCUCACAUGAGGGAAAGCUGAAAGAUGGUUUCGGCUAUCACUUACAGAUGGGCCCGCGGCGCAUUAGCUAGUUGGUGAGGUAACGGCUCACCAAGGCAACGAUGCGUAGCCGACCUGAGAGGGUGAUCGGCCACACUGGGACUGAGACACGGCCCAGACUCCUACGGGAGGCAGCAGUAGGGAAUCUUCCGCAAUGGACGAAAGUCUGACGGAGCAACGCCGCGUGAGUGAUGAAGGUUUUCGGAUCGUAAAACUCUGUUGUUAGGGAAGAACAAGUACCGGAGUAACUGCCGGUACCUUGACGGUACCUAACCAGAAAGCCACGGCUAACUACGUGCCAGCAGCCGCGGUAAUACGUAGGUGGCAAGCGUUGUCCGGAAUUAUUGGGCGUAAAGCGCGCGCAGGCGGUUCCUUAAGUCUGAUGUGAAAGCCCCCGGCUCAACCGGGGAGGGUCAUUGGAAACUGGGGAACUUGAGUGCAGAAGAGAAGAGUGGAAUUCCACGUGUAGCGGUGAAAUGCGUAGAGAUGUGGAGGAACACCAGUGGCGAAGGCGACUCUUUGGUCUGUAACUGACGCUGA
rnacentral:rRNA from 2 species